UACAGAGGUCUCAAGCGUUGUUCGGAAUCAUUGGGCGUAAAGGGUGUGUAGGUGGCGCGCUAAGUCGGGUGUGAAAUUUCGGAGCUUAACUCCGAAACUGCAUUCGAUACUGGCGUGCUUGAGGACUGGAGAGGAGACUGGAAUUCAUGGUGUAGCAGUGAAAUGCGUAGAGAUCAUGAGGAAGACCAGUGGCGAAGGCGGGUCUCUGGACAGUUCCUGACACUGAGACACGAAGGCCAGGGGAGCAAACGGG
rnacentral:rRNA from 1 species